CACUCGAGGGAUUGGAUUUUAGCAGAGUGAGAACUUCGCUGCCAUUUCCCUCCAAGACCCCUUGCACCUGAGGAAGAGUCACACUGAUCGAGAAUUGUAGUGAAACUGGGAUAUAGAGUUCCUAGCUAAACACCGACCUUUGCCUAACCAAAGCCAUGAAGACCUGUUACUACUUCCUUCUUACCAUUGCCUUAAUCCUCUCAGCUGAUCCAGUCUUUGCUCAGGUAAUAGGUGAGGGAAAAUGUGGUGAAAUGGGUGGCGCCUGCAAAGACAGCUGUGAGAAAGAAUAUGAAGACAUUGGAGAAUGCAGUACAACACGUUGCUGCAUAAGUUUUGACUCUGAAUGAUGGGGUCCAUCUCUGCUGCCACUUGCCUUGAGGAUUCAUCAGCUCCUACCUGAACUCCAGCGUUAUCCAGGAAUCGUUGAUGUUUCUUCCACCAGCUGAAGGACCACAAAAGCACAUUUGGUGUAAAACCUUCAAAGACCAUGCAUUAAUAAAAAAUAAAAACUAUAGUGCAGAUGGUCCAAAA